rnacentral:rRNA from 1 species
UACGAAGGGGGCUAGCGUUGUUCGGAAUCACUGGGCGUAAAGCGUCCGUAGGUGGCGAAUCAAGUCUUUUGUCAAAGCGUGCGGCUCAACCGCAUACGGGCAGAGGAAACUGAUUAGCUCGAGUGCGAUAGGGGUCACAGGAAUUCCCAGUGUAGCGGUGAAAUGCGUAGAUAUUGGGAAGAACACCAGCGGCGAAAGCGUGUGACUGGGUCUGCACUGACACUGAGGGACGAAAGCUAGGGGAGCGAAAGGG